ensembl:miRNA
UAAUGUUGUGGCUGUUUGGGUUCCUGGCAUGCUGAUUUGUGAUUUAAGAUUAAAAUCACAUUGCCAGGGAUUACCACAUAACCAUGACUGU